rnacentral:sRNA from 1 species
CACCGCCUGGGGAGUACGACCGCAAGGUUAAAACUCAAAUGAAUUGACGGGGACCCGCACAAGUAGUGGAGCAUGUGGUUUAAUUCGAAGAUACGCGCAGAACCUUACCAACACUUGACAUGUUCGUCGCGACUUUAAGAGAUUAAAGUUUUCGGUUCGGCCGGACGAAACACAGGUGCUGCAUGGCUGUCGUCAGCUCGUGUCGUGAGAUGUUGGGUUAAGUCCCGCAACGAGCGCAACCCUCACUUUUAGUUGCCAUCAUUUAGUUGGGCACUCUGAAAGAACUGCCAGUGAUAAGCUGGAGGAAGGUGGGGAUGACGUCAAGUCCUCAUGGCCCUUACGUGUUGGGCUACACACGUACUACAAUGGUAUCUACAACAGGAAGCAAAACAGCGAUGUUGAGCAAAUCCUUAAAAGAUACCUCAGUUCGGAUUGCACUCUGCAACUCGAGUGCAUGAAGCUGGAAUUACUAGUAAUCGUGGAUCAGCGUGCCACGGUGAAUGCGUUCCCGGGUCUUGUACACACCGCCCGUCACACCAUGGGAGUUGGUUCUACCUUAAGGCAAGGUUUAAUACCCUUGACCACGGUAUAGUCAGCGACUGGGGUGAAGUCGUAACAAGGUAGCCGUAGGGGAACCUGCGGCUGGAUUACCUCCUUUCUAAGGAUGAAUAAAAGUAAAAUUUUAUUCUAAAUAAUAUACAUAGGCAAUGUUGACCGUCCUCAUUUCUCUUCUUAAAUAUUAGUGUUUCUCUUGCAUGGGGGCCGGUAGCUCAGUUGGUUAGAGCACACCCUUGAUAAGGGUGGGGUCGAAAGUUCGAGUCUUUCUCGGCCCACCAAUUUUAGAUUAAGGGGGAUUAGCUCAGCUGGGAGAGCGCCUGAUUUGCAUUCAGGAGGUCAGCGGUUCGAUCCCGCUAUCCUCCACCAAACACUUAGUUAUAUAAAAUUGUAAAUAAAAAUUAAUAUCAAUAUCUAUAUCCGAACAUUAAUAAUGUUAUUAGUUAAUGUUCAUAAAAAAAUUUGAUUCAACACAGAAUUUUUCUCUG